UACGGAGGUGGCGAGCGUUGUCCGAAGUUACUGGGCGUAAAGCGUGCGCAGGCGGUUUUGUAAGCCAGGUGUGAAAUCCCCGGGCUCAACCUGGGAAUGGCAUUUGGGACUGCAAGGCUGGAGUGCGGCAGAGGAGACUGGAAUUCCUGGUGUAGCAGUGAAAUGCGUAGAUAUCAGGAGGAACACCGAUGGCGAAGGCAGGUCUCUGGGCUGACACUGACGCUCAUGCACGAAAGCGUGGGGAGCAAACAGG
rnacentral:rRNA from 1 species